UACGUAGGGUGCGAGCGUUAAUCGGAAUUACUGGGCGUAAAGCGUGCGCAGGCGGUGAUGUAAGACAGAUGUGAAAUCCCCGGGCUCAACCUGGGAACUGCAUUUGUGACUGCAUCGCUGGAGUGCGGUAGAGGGGGAUGGAAUUCCGCGUGUAGCAGUGAAAUGCGUAGAUAUGCGGAGGAACACCGAUGGCGAAGGCAAUCCCCUGGGCCUGCACUGACGCUCAUGCACGAAAGCGUGGGGAGCAAACAGG
rnacentral:rRNA from 1 species